GAUGCAGUUGUGCCUGAUAGGAG
rnacentral:piRNA from 2 species